AAAGCUGCCAGACCUCUGCUAGCCAGUGAGCCUUUCUCUUGGAGCCUGAGAAACAUCUCCACUGGGGAGCUGUGACCUCCUGCUGGUGUCACCCCAGGGGAUGGAAAACCUGCCUCCUUUGCAGCACGAGUUGCAGAUACCAGCCAGCUGCUUUCCCUGCUUUGAUUUUUUGGAUACCAGCCAUGGAUUGCUUAUCAUCGGUUCUGAUCCCUAAAGCCGAGGUGCUGAUUCUAAUCUGCGGCUGCAGCCGGGUUUAAAUCUUUAUCUGCAAUUGAUGUGUAGGAAAGAGGUACUGAGUGUUCUCUCCGUUUAAAUGAAAAUACCUGUUCUUAACCUGAAUCAGGGCUAAUGGAUCACACAAAAUGGAUGAGUCAAAUUUUAAAGAUGAACUUGUCUGAGGCUUUGACUGAAGAAACAGAGAGGAAACAUGCUGGAAAAAAACCUGCAAAUCUGAAAAUAGCACACAGGCAGCUGCUGCUUUCAAGAUCAAGAUGUCACCAGGUAUGGAUUGGGCUUCAUUGAGCAAAUGUAAAAGAAAUAGGAAGGACACUCAAGGCUUUAUUUUAAUGAGAAAGGAAAUGAACUUCAGCACAAGCCACUCCACCUCCUGGAGUCACGGAUGGUGUUGGGAACGGGUGAGUGGGUUCCUGUCUGGCUGUUUGGAGGGUGGUAAUAGCCCUCCCUGGUUUAAUAUCUCCUGCUGCUUGGUUUUCUCUUCUUGAGCACCCACAUAUUUCUGCCAAACUGUUUAGUGCAUCUCCCUAAAAAAAAUUGCUUGUCAAGUAGCAGUGCUCGCCUCUGUUCUCUCUGAGCAGACAGGAUCUGUUACAAAUGACUCACAUGCAGUAAUUACACUCUAUUUCUUCCUAUCUUGCAUUGAUUAUUCAGAUGUAGAAAGAAUAGCUCUCCCUCAAAUAAAAGAAUAGAUGUGAAGCCCCAAGUAUUGUUUUGUUGUUAUGUUUUUUUCUUUUUUUUCCUCCUCCUUUGUUUUUCAGGUACUGUUUACAGCCAUGGUA